rnacentral:rRNA from 1 species
GAAUGCUUUUAUUAGAUCAAAACCAAUCGGCGGCGUGCGCGUUCGCGCGCCCGUUCGCCGCUCAACCUGGUGACUCUGAAUAACUUUCGGCUGAUCGCACGGUCCAGCACCGGCGACGCAUCUUUCAAAUGUCUGCCUUAUCAACUGUCGAUGGUAGGUUCUGCGCCUACCAUGGUCGUAACGGGUAACGGGGAAUCAGGGUUCGAUUCCGGAGAGGGAGCCUGAGAAACGGCUACCACAUCCAAGGAAGGCAGCAGGCGCGCAAAUUACCCACUCCCGGCACGGGGAGGUAGUGACGAAAAAUAACGAUACGGGACUCAUCCGAGGCCCCGUAAUCGGAAUGAGUACACUUUAAAUCCUUUAACGAGGAUCAAUUGGAGGGCAAGUCUGGUGCCAGCAGCCGCGGUAAUUCCAGCUCCAAUAGCGUAUAUU